UUAAAAAAAAAUCACAGUAACAUAAAAUUAACCAUUUCAAAGGGUACAGUUCAGUGCCAUUUGAUCAUACUGUUGUAUAAACUACUGCAUCUAUGUGGCUCCCAAACAUUUAAUCACCCCCAAAGAAACCCCGUACCCCUCAAACAAUUACUCUCUGUUCUUCUCUCUCACCCUAGUCCCUGAGAACCACCAAUCUGACUGGGCUUCUCCAACAGGGAACACACAGAGCACGAUCCAUACAAAGGAAUAUGAAUCAGCCAUAAAAAGGGAACGAGGUUCUGAUACAUACCACGACAGGGACGAAUCCUGAAGAUGUUACAUAAUUGCAUAUAUAUAUGCAAUCAUACAAUAUGUAACCUUUUGUGUCCAUUUUCUUCAUCUAGCUUGUCUUCUUUUUUGCUGUUCAUCCACGUUAAAGCAUCUGUUCAGAACCCUAUUCCUUUUUAUGGCUGAGGAGUAUUCCAUUGUAUGGGUACACCUUCUUUGUUUAUCCAUUCAUCUGCUGACGGACAUCUGGAUUGUUUCCACCGUUUGGCUAUUGUGAAUAGUGCUGCUGUAGAAACAUUCGUGUACAAGCAGUUGAGUAUCUGUUUUCAACUCUUCUGGGUGUGCACCUAGGGGUAGAGUUUCUGGGCCACCGUUACAUUUUAAUUAGAAGGAUUCUCCACUCCUCAAGAUGUGUUGGUGAAGCCACUCUCUGGGACUUUCUACAGGACUCCCACCCAUCCUCGCACACUUUCUCAAUUCUUCAGUCUCACCUACUGGAAAUACUCCCACAGUCCUGGUCAUGGACUCCAAGGUACACGCUGUUAGGGUUUCUUAAUCCUGGGCCCUCACACACGGCUCUCGAUUUGCAGUUUGGUGUUUCGGGAGUGGAAGAAGGAGGCGCUGAAAUGGAGCAAGGGCAUCGUCGAGAAGGGCUGCUCUGCCGCCGGGACCCAGCCAACGUGGGAGGGCAAGAGCGAUCGAGGGGAGCUGUGUUCUCUGGCUGCCACUGGAGCCUCAGCUCCCACAGAGGAUGGAAAGGCUUGGCAUUCAUUACAAGAAUUUCAUGCGCGGAAGAUGAGAUGUACAGAUGUUUCCGGGCACCAGAAUGGCACUUCAGAGCCUCUCCCCAAAGACCCUGGUUUAACCGUGACCCUGACACAUUUGGGCUCUCUACUGUCGACUCUCCUGGUGAAACAAGGUUCAGCCUCCACUUGGAAAAAGGGAUGGGCUCUGGGGCCACUGAACAAAAUGCAUCGCCCUACAUUUUCUCCUCCUUUUCAGCUUUGGUCAAGUUGAGUUUCCAAUAGCAGAGUGGCCCAUGAUGCCAGGAGACCCUGUUUUCCACACUCUGAGGUCCUGGGAAGUUCUGUGCAAAUGGAUUUAAAAAAAAAAAUUUUUUUUUAACUUUAUUUAUUUUUGAGAGAGAGAGACAGAGUGCAAGUUGCGGGGGGGGGAACAGAGAGAGAGAGAGAGAGAGAGAGAGACAGAAUCCGAAGCAGUCUCCAGGCUCCGAGUUGUUAGUACAGAGCCCAAUGCGGGGCUCAAACUCACCAACUGCAAGAUCAUGACCUGAGCCAAAGUUGGAGGCUUAACUGACUGAGCCACCCAGGCGCCCCUGUGCAAAUGGAUUUUAAAAUAAACUAACUCAUAUGUAAAAUAUGUGAG
rnacentral:lncRNA from 1 species